AAAAAAAUACGUCUCUGCAUAUUUCAGAGGUUACCUAGCUGCGUAAUUAUAUUUGCCAUUAGAAGACUGCACUGGAUUCCCCUUAUUGGUUUGAAAUUCCAUUAAAUAUAUUGCAAGAGCUCCCAGGUUAAGCUUGAUUUAAAUUUGCAUACAUUUUCAUACAUUUAGCAGAAAUAAAAGAAGGCUACCAGCCACCAGAAAGUCAUUAAAGACUGCAGUUUCUCUAAGGAGAGAGAUCAGGAGGAAAUACCGAGGAAGCUAACAGCCCCUAACAGAUACAAAGGAUACUGGACUGAGAAGAACCGCUCUGUAAUGGAUCUCUAUUCUCCAAACCACUCAGGCUAACUCUUUGAACAAUGUGAAGGACCAGAGCAGGAGGUGACAACAGUGCAAGAGUUUUGGUCCACACCUGCACUAGUUUUUGUGUGUGUGUGUGUGUGUGUGUGUGUAUUUAUAAAUCAACAGUUUCACAGAGUGAACACUUUUAGUAGCUGUUGAUGUCUUUAUAGUCCACUGAUCCUCACAUUUAUUACCAGGGUAUUUCAAGUCAGUCUUCACAAAUCCAAGUUCCCGGAGGCAUUUCCGAUAAAGAAAGGGUCUAUAAUAUUUGAAUUUUAUACUACUUUUUUUUUUUCUUCUUCUUUCUACUGUUUACACGUUCCCCAUGAACCACACUCAUUCCUUGACUGCAGUGUGAGUUCAAUGAGCUGCCUUUGUUGUAAACUUCAGUUGCUCUUACAGUAGAUUAUGAUUACAAGCUCUGCACAUCAAGCCUCGUUUGAUUUCUAGGAUGUUAUUUGGUUAGUCUCCAAAUGGUUGAAGAUCAUGCAAAACAAUUUUAAUAAAAAGAAAAGAAAAGAAAAAAAAACAACAACAAAAACUGUUAGGUGACCUAAACAUAUCGUUCAUUCAAGCUAACGUAGCUAGCUACUGUACAGUGGAUGUAAAAAUACGUUAUGUGAUGUGUAAAAGAAAAAAAAAGAAAAGAAAAAGAGAGAGAGAGAGCGUUAAUGUGGUCUAGUUAUAUAACUACCAGAAUUCCAGUUAAAAAUAAAAAGAAAUAUUUUCUGGAGGAAAAGAAAAUGAAAAAAAAAAUAAUAAAAAAUCUCCCAAAAAAACAACAACUAAAAUAACCUCAGUGCUCAAGUGUGCACACCCCUUAACUAAUAUGUCGUUACAGUACCUUUUUCUUGUAAUACCACGCUUGGUCUUUUUGUGGUAGGGUCUACCAAGUACCAGCAUACAUUGAUUCAGUAGUUUUAUUCCACUCUUCCUUAUAAAAAUGCUCCAGAUCUAUCAAAUUGCAAAGGGAUCUCCUGUGCACAGCCCUCUUCGAAUUAUUUCACAGAAUUUUUAUUUAUUUAUUUUUUCAAUGGGAUUGUUGACAUGGGGUUGUUCUCCAAAAAGGCUCUAUCAGACUAUACCACGUUUUGCCACAUGGUUUGGGGUGAUUUAUUCAGCCUUGGAUCUUUUACUUUGUGAGAAAUGGCUUCUGCCUAGCGUGCAGAUUAUGAGAGAUUGUUGUCACAUGCAGGGCGUGAUCAGUUCUUGCCAGAUAUUCCUGUAGCUCUUCUAAUGUUGCCAUAAGUCUCUUGGCAGCCUCCUUCUUCUUGUCCAUUAGUCUUUUUUUUUAUAUAGAGCUAUGUCUUGUUUUGGUAAUGCCCCUGGUCUGGGUGCCCCAAUUUUCUCCACUUGUUGAGGAUGGCCUUCGAUGUGUUCCACAGUACAGCAAAUGUUUUGGAACUUCUUUUUUUUUUUUUUUGCGCCUCUCCUGAUGAAUGACCUUUGACAUUGAGAUCACGCACAUGUCCUUUGUGGACAGUCCCAUGGGAGCAGCAAGAUAUCAAGACAAUCAUCCGGAAACAUUUUGAUCUUUAUUUGUAUGAAAGUUACUUUUGAACGAG
ensembl:lncRNA